rnacentral:siRNA from 1 species
GAAAUCAGUAGAGUGGUUUACC